UGGGGAAUAUUGGACAAUGGGCGAAAGCCUGAUCCAGCGACGCCGCGUGAGUGAAGAAGGCCUUAGGGUUGUAAAGCUCUUUUAGUGGGGAAGAUAAUGACGGUACCCACAGAAAAAGCCCCGGCUAACUUCGUGCCAGCAGCCGCGGUAAUACGAAGGGGGCUAGCGUUACUCGGAAUUAUUGGGCGUAAAGCGUACGUAGGCUGCUUAGUAAAUCAAAAGUGAAAGCCUUGGGCUCAACCCGAGAAUUGCUUUUGACACUGCUAGGCUUGAGUACUGUAGAGGAUAGCGGAAUUCCUAGUGUAGGGGUGAAAUUCGUAGAUAUUAGGAGGAACACCGGAGGCGAAAGCGGUUAUCUGGACAGUCACUGACGCUGUUGUACGAAAGCGUGGGGAGCAAACAGG
rnacentral:rRNA from 1 species